UGGCUGUUGAAGCAGUUGCGGCCACUGGGCGCCACAUUACUAUGGCUGAGUUUCAAUGCGUGUUUGUUGUUUCAGGCGGGCUUGGUGUGGAGUGUGGACCUCCCGGCGACAGGUUGAAGAUCCUGACGCCGGUUGGGGAAAGCAGGAGGUUGAAUAAGGUGCCCCGCCAGCAGCCACCUCCUUGUUUGCUGUUUAGCGUGAUAUACUCUGGACUGUCUGGAGUCGUGUCUCUCCAUCACACCUGGCACGUGCUUCAGUGCUUUGUCUGGACUUGGUU
rnacentral:lncRNA from 1 species